CCUACGGGUGGCUGCAGUGGGGAAUUUUGGACAAUGGGGGCAACCCUGAUCCAGCCAUUCCGCGUGAGUGAAGAAGGCCUUCGGGUUGUAAAGCUCUUUUGUCCGGAGCGAAACGGGCGGCCCUAAUACGGUCGUCUACUGACGGUACCGGAAGAAUAAGCACCGGCUAACUACGUGCCAGCAGCCGCGGUAAUACGUAGGGUGCGAGCGUUACUCGGAACUACUGGGGGUAAAGCGGUAGGAGACAUGUGAAAUCCCCAGGCUCAACCUGGGAAUGGCAUUUGGGACUGCAAGGCUGGAGUGUGGCAGAGGGGACUAGAAUUCCUGGUGUAGCAGUGAAAUGCGUAGAUAUCAGGAGGAAUACCGAUGGCGAAGGCAGGUCCCUGGGUUAACACUGACGCUCAUGCACGAAAGCGUGGGGAGCAAACAGGAUUAGAUACCCGGGUAGUC
rnacentral:rRNA from 1 species